rnacentral:rRNA from 1 species
UACGAAGGGGGCUAGCGUUGUUCGGAAUUACUGGGCGUAAAGCGCACGUAGGCGGACAUUUAAGUCAGGGGUGAAAGCCCAGAGCUCAACUCUGGAAUUGCCUUUGAGACUGAGUGGCUUGAGUACGAGAGAGGUGAGUGGAAUUCCCAGUGUAGAGGUGAAAUUCGUAGAUAUUGGGAAGAACACCGGUGGCGAAGGCGGCUCACUGGCUCGUAACUGACGCUCAUGCACGACAGCGUGGGGAUCAAACAGG